rnacentral:rRNA from 1 species
UGGGGAAUAUUGCACAAUGGGCGAAAGCCUGAUGCAGCGACGCCGCGUGAGGGAUGACGGCCUUCGGGUUGUAAACCUCUUUCAGCGGGGAAGAAGCGAAAGUGACGGUACCUGCAGAAGAAGCACCGGCUAACUACGUGCCAGCAGCCGCGGUAAUACGUAGGGUGCGAGCGUUGUCCGGAAUUAUUGGGCGUAAAGAGCUUGUAGGCGGUUUGUCGCGUCUGCCGUGAAAAUCCGGGGCUCAACCCCGGACUUGCGGCGGGUACGGGCAGACUAGAGUGUGGUAGGGGAGACUGGAAUUCCUGGUGUAGCGGUGAAAUGCGCAGAUAUCAGGAGGAACACCGAUGGCGAAGGCAGGUCUCUGGGCCACUACUGACGCUGAGAAGCGAAAGCGUGGGGAGCGAACAGGAUUAGAUACCCUGGUAGUCCACGCCGUAAACGUUGGGAACUAGGUGUGGGUCUCAUUCCACGAGAUCUGUGCCGCAGCUAACGCAUUAAGUUCCCCGCCU